CCUACGGGUGGCAGCAGUGGGGAAUAUUGGGCAAUGGGCGCAAGCCUGACCCAGCAACGCCGCGUGAAGGAAGAAGGCUUUCGGGUUGUAAACUUCUUUUAAGAGGGAAGAGCAGAAGACGGUACCUCUUGAAUAAGCCACGGCUAACUACGUGCCAGCAGCCGCGGUAAUACGUAGGUGGCAAGCGUUGUCCGGAUUUACUGGGUGUAAAGGGCGUGCAGGCGGGAAGACAAUUCAGAUGUGAAAGCCCGCGGCUCAACCGAGGAACUGCAUUUGAAACUGUUUUUCUGGAGUACCGGAGAGGUCAGCGGAAUUCGUUGUGUAGCGGUGAAAUGCGUAGAUAUAAGGAAGAACACCGGUGGCGAAGGCGGUCUGCUGGACAGCAACUGACGCUGAGGCGCGAAAGCGUGGGGAGCAAACAGGAUUAGAUACCCCAGUAGUC
rnacentral:rRNA from 1 species